CUGUCUUUCACAGGGCUGAGGAGGGCUUUAUAUUUGUUCCAGUGUGUGCUUUGUGAGGGACUUACAGUUGUCUUCCUUGUUGCCAGUGUCCUGAUGUGCUUUAGCCAGCAUCCUCUUUGGCUCUCUGUUUGUGUGAUUGUGAGUGACCUACAGUACCUUGCUGCCAGCCUGCCAAUGCCAUGACAGUUUCACUGCCUAUGAGUGAGUGAUAAAUAAACACUCUUGAAUCUUAAA